CAUGCAAGUCGAGCGGGCGUAGCAAUACGUCAGCGGCAGACGGGUGAGUAACGCGUGGGAACGUACCUUUUGGUUCGGAACAACACAGGGAAACUUGUGCUAAUACCGGAUAAGCCCUUACGGGGAAAGAUUUAUCGCCGAAAGAUCGGCCCGCGUCUGAUUAGCUAGUUGGUAGGGUAAUGGCCUACCAAGGCGACGAUCAGUAGCUGGUCUGAGAGGAUGAUCAGCCACAUUGGGACUGAGACACGGCCCAAACUCCUACGGGAGGCAGCAGUGGGGAAUAUUGGACAAUGGGGGCAACCCUGAUCCAGCCAUGCCGCGUGAGUGAUGAAGGCCCUAGGGUUGUAAAGCUCUUUUGUGCGGGAAGAUAAUGACGGUACCGCAAGAAUAAGCCCCGGCUAACUUCGUGCCAGCAGCCGCGGUAAUACGAAGGGGGCUAGCGUUGCUCGGAAUCACUGGGCGUAAAGGGUGCGUAGGCGGGUCUUUAAGUCAGGGGUGAAAUCCUGGAGCUCAACUCCAGAACUGCCUUUGAUACUGAAGAUCUUGAGUUCGGGAGAGGUGAGUGGAACUGCGAGUGUAGAGGUGAAAUUCGUAGAUAUUCGCAAGAACACCAGUGGCGAAGGCGGCUCACUGGCCCGAUACUGACGCUGAGG
rnacentral:rRNA from 1 species